AUGGCCGUCGUCAGUUCGUACUGUGAAGCAUCCUGUUAAGUCAGGCAACGAGCGAGACCCACGCCCACAGUUGCCAGCGUACUCUCCGGAGUGACGGGUACACUGUGGGGACCGCCGCUGCUAAAGCGGAGGAAGGAAUGGGCAACGGUAGGUCAGUAUGCCCCGAAUAUCCCGGGCUACACGCGAGCUACAAUGGUUGGUACAAUGGGUAUCUACCCCGAAAGGGGACGGGAAUCUCCUAAAACCAAUCUUAGUUCGGAUUGAGGGCUGCAACUCGCCCUCAUGAAGCUGGAAUCCGUAGUAAUCGCGUUUCAACAGAACGCGGUGAAUACGUCCCUGCUCCUU
rnacentral:rRNA from 1 species